rnacentral:rRNA from 1 species
UACAGAGGAUGCAAGCGUUAUCCGGAAUGAUUGUGCGUUAAGCGUCUGUAGGUGGUUUUUUAAGUCUGCCGUGAAAUGCCAGGGCUUAACCUUGGACAGGCGGUGGAAACUACCAAGCUGGAGUACGGUAGGGGCAGAGGAAAUUUCCGGUGGAGCGGUGAAAUGCAUAGAGAUCGGAAAGAACACCAACGGCGAAAGCACUUUGCUGGGCCGACACUGGCACUGAGAAACGAAAGCUAGGGGAGCGAAUGGG